rnacentral:rRNA from 1 species
CGGCAGACACACGGCGGGUGCUAACGUCCGUCGUGAAGAGGGCAACAACCCUGACCUCCAGCUAAGGUCCCCAAGUCAUGGCUAAGUGGGAAAGGAUGUGAGGAUCCCAAAACAACCAGGAUGUUGGCUUAGAAGCAGCCAUCAUUUAAAGAAAGCGUAACAGCUCACUGGUCUAAAUAAGGGUCUUUGCGCCGAAAAUGUAACGGGGCUAAAGCCAUGCACCGAAGCUGAGGCUUGUAGCAUUCCUCGGAGUGCUGCAGGGGUAGCGGAGCGUUCCGUAAGCCUGUGAAGGGAUACCCGUGAGGGGUCCUGGAGGUAUCGGAAGUGCGAAUGUUGACAUGAGUAACGAUAAAGAGGGUGAGAGACCCUCUCGCCGAAAGACCAAGGGUUCCUGCUUAAAGUUAAUCUGAGCAGGGUUAGCCGGCCCCUAAGACGAGGCGGACACGCGUAGUCGAUGGGAACCACGUUAAUAUUCGUGGGCCUGGUGGUAGUGACGGAUUGCUUAACUUGUUCGGACUUAAUGGAUUGUCCGGGCGGGGACGCGGUUCCAGGAAAUAGCUCCACCGUAUAGACCGUACCCGAAACCGACACAGGUGGUCAGGUAGAGUAUACCAAGGCGCUUGAGAGAACUAUGCUGAAGGAACUCGGCAAAUUGCACGCGUAACUUCGGAAGAAGCGUGACCCUUUUUGACGCAAGUCAGAUGGGGUGGCACAGACCAGGGGGUAGCGACUGUUUAUCAAAAACACAGGGCUCUGCGAAGUCGCAAGACGACGUAUAGGGUCUGACGCCUGCCCGGUGCUGGAAGGUUAAGAGGAGGGGUGCAAGCUCUGAAUCGAAGCCCCAGUAAACGGCGGCCGUAACUAUAACGGUCCUAAGGUAGCGAAAUUCCUUGUCGGGUAAGUUCCGACCUGCACGAAUGGCGUAACGACUUCCCCGCUGUCUCCAGCAUAGACUCAGUGAAAUUGAAUUCCCCGUGAAGAUGCGGGGUUCCUGCGGUCAGACGGAAAGACCCCGUGCACCUUUACUAUAGCUUUACACUGGCAUUCGUGUCGGCAUGUGUAGGAUAGGUGGUAGGCUUUGAAGCGGGGACGCCAGUUCUCGUGGAGCCAUCCUUGAAAUACCACCCUUAUCGUCAUGGAUGUCUAACCGCGGUCCGUUAUCCGGAUCCGGGACAGUGUAUGGUGGGUAGUUUGACUGGGGCGGUCGCCUCCGAAAGAGUAACGGAGGCGCGCGAUGGUGGGCUCAGACCGGUCGGAAAUCGGUCGUCGAGUGCAAUGGCAUAAGCCCGCCUGACUGCGAGACUGACAAGUCGAGCAGAGACGAAAGUCGGUCAUAGUGAUCCGGUGGUCCCGCGUGGAAGGGCCAUCGCUCAACGGAUAAAAGGUACGCCGGGGAUAACAGGCUGAUGACCCCCAAGAGUCCAUAUCGACGGGGUUGUUUGGCACCUCGAUGUCGGCUCAUCGCAUCCUGGGGCUGGAGCAGGUCCCAAGGGUUUGGCUGUUCGCCAAUUAAAGCGGUACGUGAGCUGGGUUCAGAACGUCGUGAGACAGUUCGGUCCCUAUCUGCCGUGGGUGUAGGAAUAUUGACAGGAUCUGUCCCUAGUACGAGAGGACCGGGAUGGACAUAUCUCUGGUGGACCUGUUGUCCUGCCAAGGGCAUAGCAGGGUAGCUAUAUAUGGAAGGGAUAACCGCUGAAGGCAUCUAAGCGGGAAACCCACCUGAAAACGAGUAUUCCCUUGAGAACCGUGGAAGACGACCACGUUGAUAGGCCGGGUGUGGAAGUGCGGCAACGCAUGAAGCUUACCGGUACUAAUCGUUCGAUUGGCUUGAUCGU